rnacentral:lncRNA from 1 species
UUCACUAAGAUGAAGAUCUGGUAGCGACGGCGAAUCCGGCCGCGCUGAGUCUCGUCAUCGGCGACGGAGACUCGAACCUCCGUGAUGAUCUCUGCUUCUACUCUCCUUCACCGUCGUGACUACGUAUUCCACAAACCAAUCCCCGACGCCGGGUUGCAACGAUAUCAAAAAAUCGGAUUAAACGCGAAGUAGAGAAAAGUCUUACUGAUUCUGAUGUG